rnacentral:rRNA from 1 species
ACCCGCUGAACUUAAGCAUAUCAAUAAGCGGAGGAAAAGAAACCAACAGGGAUUGCCCUAGUAACGGCGAGUGAAGCGGCAACAGCUCAAAUUUGAAAUCUGGCUCUUUUAGAGUCCGAGUUGUAAUUUGCAGAGGGCGCUUUGGCUUUGGCAGCGGUCCAAGUUCCUUGGAACAGGACGUCACAGAGGGUGAGAAUCCCGUACGUGGUCGCUGGCUAUUGCCGUGUAAAGCCCCUUCGACGAGUCGAGUUGUUUGGGAAUGCAGCUCUAAAUGGGAGGUACAUUUCUUCUAAAGCUAAAUAUUGGCCAGAGACCGAUAGCGCACAAGUAGAGUGAUCGAAAGAUGAAAAGCACUUUGAAAAGAGAGUUAAAAAGUACGUGAAAUUGUUGAAAGGGAAGCGUUUAUGACCAGACUUGGACUUGGUUAAUCAUCUGGGGUUCUCUCCAGUGCACUUUUCCAGUUCAGGCCAGCAUCAGUUUUCGCCGGGGGAUAAAGGCAGCGGGAAUGUGGCUCUCUUCGGGGAGUGUUAUAGCCCGCUGUGUAAUACCCUGGUGGGGACUGAGGUUCGCGCUUCUGCAAGGAUGCUGGCGUAAUGGUCAU